rnacentral:rRNA from 1 species
AGAGUUUGAUCCUGGCUCAGAUUGAACGCUGGCGGCAGGCCUAACACAUGCAAGUCGAGCGGUAGAGAGAAGCUUGCUUCUCUUGAGAGCGGCGGACGGGUGAGUAAUGCCUAGGAAUCUGCCUGGUAGUGGGGGAUAACGUUCGGAAACGGACGCUAAUACCGCAUACGUCCUACGGGAGAAAGCAGGGGACCUUCGGGCCUUGCGCUAUCAGAUGAGCCUAGGUCGGAUUAGCUAGUUGGUGGGGUAAUGGCUCACCAAGGCGACGAUCCGUAACUGGUCUGAGAGGAUGACCAGCCACACUGGAACUGAGACACGGUCCAGACUCCUACGGGAGGCAGCAGUGGGGAAUAUUGCACAAUGGGCGCAAGCCUGAUGCAGCCAUGCCGCGUGUAUGAAGAAGGCCUUCGGGUUGUAAAGUACUUUCAGCGGGGAGGAAGGCGAUGUGGUUAAUAACCGCAUCGAUUGACGUUACCCGCAGAAGAAGCACCGGCUAACUCCGUGCCAGCAGCCGCGGUAAUAAGGGCGAAUUCCACAGUG